CAAGCUUUUCUUCUCUCUCCUUCUGAACAACCCUCAUCUUCUCUUGCAACUUUUUUGUAUCAAAUUGUUCUCCCUCUGUGAAAAUGUCUAAUGAAGCCAUUGAUGCCAUCGCAAGCUGUCCUAUGUAGUCCUCAAAAAGCUCACUACCAAAAAGCAUUGCAAAAAUUGCUGCAGGAUCAAUAAUUGCUUCUGUUGAGAUUCCAGAUUUCCCAUAUGCAUCGUAUGCUUGCCGUUGGGCAGGAUCACUCAAUACUUGGUAUGCCUCUCCCAACGCCUGAAAAUUUUGUGCAGCAAGAGG
rnacentral:misc_RNA from 1 species